CAUUUUACAUAUGGUAAGCAGACACAGCAGGCAGACUUUGAUGUGGAGGGCGACAUGAGGGGGGGGGGGUCCGCGGGCCGCCAGUUGGACAGCCCUGCCCUACAUCAUAGUUUCUUUCCGUAGGGCUUGACUUCUUGGAAAAGAAAGCUACUGGAUGCAACACAUCUUUAGGUCCAGCUCGGUGUGAAAGAAUUGCUCCAAUGGUGACUUCUGAGGCGUCAACCUCAAGAAUAAAAGGUUUAGUAGCAUCCGAAUGUACAAGAAUAGGAGCAGAUGUAAAAAGUUUCUUUAGAUGUUCAAAAGCUUGUUGUGCAAUUGAAGACCAAGCAAAUUUAACUUUAAUACUUGUGAGAUCGGUAAGAGGUUUGAUAAUAGCAGAAAUAUUUUUUGAGUCUUCUGUAAAAAUUAGCAAAACCCACAAAAUGUUGAAUUCCUUUACGAUCUACUGGAGGAGGCCAGUUAAUAAUCGCUUCCACCUUUUUAAGAUCCAUCUUGAAUCCUUGAUCAGAAACCAGGAAUCCCAAAAAUUUGAUUCGAGACUUUUCAAAAUCACAUUUAGAAGCUUUGGCAUACAACUGAUGUCUUCUGAGCCGUAGUAACACCUCUCUCACAUGAAUUUGAUGAUCUUCCAAGGAAUUGGAAAAAACUAAAAUGUCGUCAAGAUAAACAAUGACAAAUUGAUCCAGUAAAUCAUGAAAAAUAUCAUUUAUGAAAUAUUGAAAAGUAGCAGGGGCAUUGCAGAGGCCAAAAGGCAUUACCGUAAAUUCAGUGUCCAUAACGGGAGUGAAACGCAGUCUUCCAUUUGUCUCCCUCUCGUAUCCGAACUAAGUUAUACACCCCUCUCAGAUCCAAUUUAGAAAAAACCUUGGCGUGACAAAGUCUUUGAAAUAAAUCAGAAAUGAGAGGUAAUGGAUAACGAUUCUUAAUAGUGACCUUAUUUAGUUCACGGAAAUUGAUGCAAGGUCUUAAAGAGUGAUCUUUCUUUUCAAAAAAAAAAAUACCUGCUCCAGCCGGAGAAGUUGAAUGACGAUUAAACCCUUUUUCAAGAUUUUCAUCAAUAUAGUCCUUUAGUGUAGCCAAUUCUAGCUCAGAUAGAGGGUAAAUUCUUCCAAAAGGAAUGGCUGCCCCAGGGAGUAAGUCAAUGGGACAAUCGUAACUUCUAUGAGGAGGAAGAGAAUCUGCAGUUUUCUUAUUGAACACAUCCGCAAAAUCAUGAUACACCUGUGGAACACACUGCAGUAAUUCAUCAUCCGAGAUGGUUAGACCCAGAACUUUUGGAGGACGAAGACAAUUUUGACGACAAUAAUUAGAGUUGAAAAGAAUUGUCCCAGACUGCCAGUCAAUACUAGGAUUAGGAGCCUUUAACCAAGGAAUGCCAAGAAUAACAGGGAAGAGUAGAGUUUCCAUAACAUCAAACUUUAUUAAUUCACAAUGCCCCUUAACGGAAAAAGUCAAAAUGUGCGGGGUCUCAAGGGAUACUGGUCCCAAAGAAACAAAAUUGCCGUCUGCCAUCUUAACAUGUACUGGUUGAACUUUAGAAAUGAGAGGGAUUUUAUGUUGACUCGCGAAGGUUUGAUUGAUAAAACAACCACAUGCACCAUCAAUCUUUCUUUGGUUCCACUGAAAAGUAAGGUGUAACAAAAUGUAAGAUUGUAUAGACGGAGUCAAUGGAAUAUUAGAAAAUAGAUGAGAAGAGUCUUUACCAUCAGGUAGUGUGGGACAAUUUCUUAACGCAUGGCCAGCCUGACCACAGUAUAGACAUAAAUUCAAACGUCUGCUUCGAAGUCUUUCCUCUGCUGAGAGAGUUUUGCGAACCACUCCAAUUUGCAUAGGCUCAGGAUCAGAAGAGGGACCUGCAUAAACUGGAGGAGGAGCCGUCGGAGGGACCCAUUCAGGAGUCGGAAGGCAAGCACCUCUUUCUUGACGUCUUUCCCUCACCUGUCAAACUGUACAGACAGUAGAAUUAAUUCUUCCAGAGAGCUUGGAAGUCCCACUCUUGCCAGUUCAUCUCUGAGAAGAUCAGAUAACCCCAUACGAAACUGGUGUCUGAGAGCUCUAUCAUUCCACAAAGUAUCUGGGGCCCAACAACGGAAAUCAGCCGCAUAUUCUUCUUACUGGGCAGCGAAGCUGGCGAAGACUGCGUAUUGCCACUUCAGCUGUUUCCACCUGAUGAGGAUCCUCAUAAAUGUUAGCCAAAGCUUGAAUGAAAGUGUCCGUUGUGGCUAAUAAAGGACUGUUCUGUUCCAACAGGCGAUGGGCCCAUGCUUGUGGUUGACCUUGUAACAGAGAAAUCAUGACCCCUUCUCAAAUAUGGUCAGUAGAAUGUGACUGGGGUUUCAAAGUAAAUAGGAGCCGACAACUAUUGAUAAAAGUUCUGAAUGUCUUUCGGUCUCCUGAACAUUUAUCUGGCAUGGCAACUUUCAGUUCUUCAUGUGAAUAGUUUGCUGCAGCCUCUCCUGGAGUACAGUAGUCAUCCAUAUGUCUUGGAGUUGACCUUGCACGGUCUGAUAAUCUCCCCGGAGAUCACUCACGGCUUGAGUGAGUGAAGAAAUUUGCUGAGACAAAUCGAACAACGUAGGUUACUCUUCUAUAGACUCCAUUCUGGCUUGGUUAUUAGAGCCAGUUGAAGAGUUCAAGCAGUUAAGUGUAACAGCCAAUCGAAGAGAACUCAACAGAGGGAACGACAGGCAGAAGUCAAUAGGCAGGCUGAAGUCAAGCGUAGUUGGAAGCAGGCAGAGGUCGGUAGGCAGGCUGAGGUCAAACGAAGUCAGGGACAGGCCGAGGUCAAACACUAGAAGAUCAGAAAUAUCCAAAGGCAAGCCGAGUCACACAGGAAACGUUCACAGGUAUAGAAUCACAAGUUAGGAAAUAACCAAGCGAUGUUUACUUCCUCAGACGUCUAUUUAAAGGGACGAUUUUGUCGCGUCGCAUGCACAAUGACGCGCUCACAGGCAACAAGCACCGAGAAUGUACAGGACCCUGCACACCCCUGCGCCUCCGUGCAGGCGAAGACUUAGCUGCGACCAGUGGUACCUUACAAUACUAAAUCCAUCAUUAUAAUUUUCAGGGCAUGCCUGUAACUGAAGAUGAUUUGUGGUGACACCACAUACAGUAGAUGCGGUCAGGCAACUGUUUUCUGCAGUCUGUGACAUCAUCAGGGGGAUGGGCAUUUAGGGGCAGAUUUUUUAAAAUUCAAAUUUGAGCUUUUGCCACUAUUCAAGUUUUUAUAUACAUUCAAAUUUAAGUGUGCUGACUGAAAUGUGGGUGUGAAGGGAUUUCUUCGACCAAUAUUUUUUGGAUUUUUAGGCAAGAGCAACACAUUUUUUGCAGGUCAUUGAUAGGUAGCCAACCUGACUCUGGCCACAGCCCUUCACCACUGGCUUUAAAUUAAACACAGUUGAUGUGAACUCUUCCAAGUUUAUCCUCAACAGUCGCAGCCUCCCUGAACAUGUUCCAGUCGCUGUACUUAAACCAGUCCUGAAGAGCCGGGAUAACACCUGCGGGCCAGGUUCUCACCUUCCUUAGAAUUGGUUUGGAACCUCUGUCGAACGGUCGGUAAUCAGGUAUUAGCAUAAGGAAUGUGAUCUGAGUAUCCCAGGUGGGGACAGGGCUCUGCCCGGUAUGCACCAGGAAUGUUUGUGUAAACAAGAGCUAGUGUGUUUUCACAUGUUGGUAGAAUUUUUCAUCCUGCUGAUAUGAUCAUACUCAUUUAUAUAAUUACACAGUGCACCAUGCUACACAUAUAUUAUUAUAACAGACUGUAAAUACAUUAACAUGUUAUAGUAUUUGUUUAUUGGCCGUCCAUAUCACUUCAUUCUCUCAUUCCAUCCAUCUGCACCUCUCUCUUUGAAUUACCUCUUGCAUCAAGUUCUCAGAUGGGAGCUACUAGGUGUAUUCUCUCUGCCUGAGACGCCUGAUUUCCACAUCCUCAUCCACUGACUCUGUGAGUGAGUAGCACUGUUGCCUUAACUCCUUUAAUGCCAAGGGGUCUGCAACACACUGGGGGUGGUACAGAGAUUAAAUGUGAAUUGAGCAGACUUUUUUUAUUUUAUUUCAGUCAUGUUGGUGAUCAUUGUUCCUGGUAGAUAAAUUGUGAUUUUAUGUGAAAUUUGCAACACUCCUUUGGUUGCACAGAAUGCUAUAUCACUCCUAUAUAUUCUUUCUCUUUUUUCUUCUUUUUUUCUUACUGUGCUACUGAUCCCACAUGGUCUCUUCUUCUUACCACUCUCUCAGCCUCCUGAUGAUCGCAGCUGGGUUUACUCCCCACUCCACUAUAAUACCCAGGUACAGCCUGUCUCAGAUGAGGAAAGUGACAAAUGAACAGAGAAUGUCUUCUUUCAGCUUUGCAUUAUAUCUCUCAAUGCUGCAGUGAAGAAGAAAGACGAUUGUUGCAGAGAAUCGAUCAGCUGAGUGUGAUUUGUCCACACUCUAUAUACUUACAUGCAUUAUAUCUGUAUUUAUAUAAAUAUCUGUCAUAUCCACUCAAAAUAAUACAUACAAUAAAUCCAUGGAGUAAUUUCGAGUCAAUUUAAUGUUUUCUUAGUUUUAAAAAUUGUAGCUCCACAGAAGGGGCAGAAUAAAUUUUGUUCUCAUUGCA